AAGAAAUAUGUCGUCAUUCCAAGUUCCACAGAGCUCUGCAGGAAGUGUGUCCUUUGAUUAACGGGAUAAACUGAUAGCACUUCCUCCCGCAUGAGUUCAGACUUUCAGUUCUCCAUUAUGCAGUAUUGCAUUGCCAUGAACUCAAAUCAAGCUUCAAGAAGGAGGGCAAUAUUUUGCAUCACCGCUAAACAACAAUAAACCUCCCCUUACCAUGCAUUAAGGCGACUUCUGCUACAAAUGUGUUUUGCGCAACACGGGAGCCGUGAACGUUUACAGUAAGAGCUAACAUUAGUCACUCCUCCAUUUUCUCUCGAAUUCUGUGGUUUUAUUUGCGGAAAUUGGUAUGUUUUCAAGCUCCUGCACAUUCUCAC
rnacentral:lncRNA from 1 species